AACCGAUCCCUGGCAGUGAGGGACCGGUCCCCGAACGUGAACCCAGCGAGAAAGCCAGAAAUUUGGCUAAGUCCUGAGAAUCCUACUCUCGGGAACCGGUCUCUCAGGAAGGAACCGGUCUUCCGAGGACCGGUCUCUCUGGGAGAGACCGGUACCCGAACGCGUGACCCGAGCUGAAGCUCUCGGGGACCGGUCCCAAGUCGGGGAGACGGUCCCUCCGCGCGCAGAUCGCCCAGUGAAGGCUGUGCACAGAGUGAAAAGUAGAGGGGGCCAGUUGGAUAUUGUUACAAUAUGAGGGCUUGUGGUCCCUCUCUCCCUCUCACUCUCUCAUUCUACUCCCUCUCUCUCUCACGCUCUCUUGCUCUCUCUCUCUCUAGAAAGAAAAGAGAAUGAAGAAGAAGAAGAAGAAGAAGAAGAAGAAGAAAAGAGAAGGAAAAGAAAGAAGAAAGGGAAGGAGAAGAAGAAGGAGAUCAAGAAAAAGAAGACUUUGGACCGCUCCCUCUUCCUCUCUUCUCUCUUGGAGCUAACCUAGAGGUAAGCUUCUAACCCUAACUUGUGAAAUUUGGGAUUUUUGGGUUUUAGUUUUUUGGAUGGGAUCAAAUGGAUCCCUAGCACCAUGAAUGGAGGGAUCAGAGCUAAAAUCUAGGAUUUUGAGAUGGGUUUAGCUUGAUGCUAACCGUAGGGCACCAAAAUAGGGUUUUUGGUAAAGUAUGAGAUUGAUCUCAUUUGAGGCUAUGUAAACCUAAUUGCUAGGUAACGAAACAUGGGGGCGAAGUCGGAAUUGCAAUUCGUCGAGCGGGUCAAGAGCUAUCAGCAAAAUAAGGCUGAUUGAGCAUCAUUUGGACCAAGGAGACCAAGACUUCGUCGUAACGUCUGUUGGAGGGCAUUUCUAGAGCCUCCAUACCCUCAAAGGGUGGGGGGUGUCAUCCCGAAGCAUCCGGGUUUCUUUUUAUGUCUAAGUUAAUUAUAUUGACCAUAUUGUGCUAUAGGAAUAGUAGUUGUACAUUUCCAUUUCCUUGCGUGCUUUCUUGGUAGUGUAGCGGGGUGAGCUUGACACGUGGACUAGGAUAGCAUAAGGAUUGGGUCUUGUGACAUAGAAUCCUAUAGCGGCAUAAAGAGCCAAACUUGGACAUAGCCCAGUAGAGUGGCAUUGAACUAGUGUGGUAGAAGCACUAUGACAUGAAGAAGUGGCAUGUAGAAUAAUUGAGACAUUUACUACAAUGACUAACGAGUGGCAUUGAGUUUAGUGUAAUAAACUUGACAUGAACUUAGGGAUAGUAGAGAUCCCAGCAUCUAGGAUGCAUUGUAUACUGUGCAGCAAAGGCACAUUGAUCCUAGUAGAUAGGGUAUCCUCUUGAGAGGAUUGGAUCAUACUCACUAGUCUAUUUUCGCUGUCGGUGGUCGCUCCACCGUGGCACGAGUCUCCGGAGUACUUCACUAGGGGCAGAUGUAGUUGUCCCGCAGACGGUCUCGGUGUGCGAGUGCAGCUUCUCCUCACCUAUGAGAUUGAGAGUGAGUCGAGGGUUUAACCUUCGGGUUAACCAAGUAGAUUGGGUAAUAAACAUGAUAUGCAUAGUAGACUUGCAUUAUUACCUUGAGUAGACAUAGUGUAUAUUGUAGAUUACAUUGCUAUGCACAUUUAUAUACUCAUGACAUGAUACUAGCAUGAUAGUAGUUGUUGCAUGCAUUAUUAUCAUUGAUGGCAUGAUAGAGUAAUUGCAGUUCAUUUCUCUAUAUAUCUAUCUAUCUCUCUAUCUGUGCCAGCUUAGACCUAGUG
rnacentral:lncRNA from 1 species